rnacentral:lncRNA from 1 species
UGCUUACAUGAGUGGCAGUGAAACUGAAAUUUACUAUACUUUGAUUAGCGAAAUGAAUAAUAAUUUACAGAUCUAGGAUUUUAUGGCAGAAAUAUGUAAAUACACCACAUCUAACUGUUGUUGACAGAGUUUGGGGCUGAGCCCCCUGUUUUGUGUGUUUGUGACGACGUCAGGGAGGUGGCAGCCACGGUGGCUUAUCGCCGG